rnacentral:rRNA from 1 species
AGAGUUUGAUCCUGGCUCAGGAUCAACGCUGGCGGCGUGCCUAAUGCAUGCAAGUCGGACGGGCCUGGUUUCGGCCGGGUCACGUGGCGGACGGGUGAGGAACGCGUGGGCAAGCUGCCCUGGGGUGGGGGGUAGCCGUCGGAAACGGCGGGUAAUUCCGCAUGUGCUCAGGGACCGGUGGGGUCUUUGAGGAAAGCACUCUUUCGGGGGUGCGCCCUAGGAGGUGCCUGCGGCCGAUUAGCUAGUUGGUGGGGUAACGGCCUACCAAGGCGGUGAUCGGUAGCUGGUCUGAGAGGACGGCCAGCCACACGGGGACUGAGAGACGGCCCCGACUCCUACGGGAGGCAGCAGCAAGGAAUUUUCCCCAAUGGGCGCAAGCCUGAGGGAGCAACGCCGCGUGGGGGAGGACGCUUUUCGGAGUGUAAACCCCUUUUCUCGGGGACGAAUUCCUGACGGUACCCGAGGAAGAAGGCCCGGCUAACUACGUGCCAGCAGCCGCGGUAAUACGUAGGGGCCGAGCGUUGUCCGGAGUUACUGGGCGUAAAGCGCGCGCAGGCGGUUCCUUUAGCCCGGCGUGAAAGCCCCCGGCUCAACCGGGGAGGGUCGUCGGGGACUGGGGGACUUGAGGGCGGCAGGGGCUGGUGGAAUCCCCGGUGUAGUGGUGAAAUGCGUAGAGAUCGGGAGGAACACCCGUGGCGAAGGCGGCCGGCUGGGCCGACUCUGACGCUGAGGCGCGAAGGCGUGGGGAGCGAACGGGAUUAGAUACCCCGGUAGUCCACGCAGUAAACGAUGCCGA